GCCGAAGUGGUGGAACUGGCAGACGCGCCGGACUCAAAAUCCGGUGGCCGCUGAGGCCGUGCGGGUUCGACUCCCGCCUUCGGCA
rnacentral:tRNA from 1 species